UGCCUUCUGAAACUCUUUCACUUAGAACUGGAUGGAAUUUCGCCACAUGUCUUAGGUUUUAAGUGACGGUCAAAGAGCAUUUCUGGGUUAUUUUAAUAUUUUGGAGGAUAGGCAAAGCGAUCUAUUCACAAGGCUAAAAAUACUGAUCUUUCUCCUAUCCAUUUCUUCAAAAAAAAAAAAAAGAGAAAGAUAUAUAGAGAUGAGGCUACUGUGUUAACUGGUGUUGCUUGGUUGUAAAUGAAAAGACAGUGGAAAUUACCAAUGGUUUAGAAUUUAAACCAACUGUUAAACUGUCAUAGAAAUCUGUUUUAAGGCAGUGAGACAGCACCAUAGGAAAUGUUCCUUCUUUCACUGAAAAGGCUCAAACAAAUAAAGCCCUAAAAAAGCCUUUUAUCAGUGUUGACUAAUAAUUGGUAUAAAACUCUUGUUAAGGGAGUGGGCAGGUGGUUUAAAAAGACCACUGUGGUAAAAACAACCUUAUAAAACCAGUGACUCAUAUACUAAAAAGUUGGUGGAGCACAUCAUGAUUCUAAAGAGCACAUGUUCCUGGUGAAAAGAGGACUCAACUGCUCUGACAAUAAAUUUAUAGAAAAAAAGUUAUGACUAUAGCAUCAUAGAAA
rnacentral:lncRNA from 1 species